AUUGAACGCUGGCGGCAUGCCUUACACAUGCAAGUCGAACGGCAGCACGGGAGCAAUCCUGGUGGCGAGUGGCGAACGGGUGAGUAAUACAUCGGAACGUACCUGAUAGUGGGGGAUAGCCCGGCGAAAGCCGGAUUAAUACCGCAUACGACCUGAGGGUGAAAGAGGGGGAUCGCAAGACCUCUUGUUAUUGGAGCGGCCGAUGGCUGAUUAGCUAGUUGGUGAGGUAAAGGCUCACCAAGGCGACGAUCAGUAGCGGGUCUUAGAGGACGAUCCGCCACACUGGAACUGAGACACGGUCCAGACUCCUCCGGGAGGCAGCAGUGGGGAAUCUUGGACAAGGGGCGCAAGCCUGAUCCAGCAAUGCCGCGUGCGUGAAGAAGGCCUUCGGGUUGUAAAGCGCUUUUGUCAGGGAGCAAAUCCUUGUGGCUAAUACCCACCGGGGAUGAGAGUACCUGAAGAAUAAGGACCGGCUAACUACGUGCCAGCCGCCGCGGUAAUAC
rnacentral:rRNA from 1 species